CGAGCGCUACCUUCGGGUGGAGCGGCGGACGGGUUAGUAACGCGUGGGAACGUACCCAGAUCUAAGGAAUAGCCACUGGAAACGGUGAGUAAUACCUUAUACGCCCUUCGGGGGAAAGAUUUAUCGGAUUUGGAUCGGCCCGCGUUAGAUUAGAUAGUUGGUGGGGUAAUGGCCUACCAAGUCUACGAUCUAUAGCUGGUUUUAGAGGAUGAUCAGCAACACUGGGACUGAGACACGGCCCAGACUCC
rnacentral:rRNA from 1 species